GUGCUUGCUUCAGCAACACAUAUACUAAAACUGGAACGAUACAGAGAUUAGCAUGGCCCCUGCACAAGGAUGACAUGUAAAUUCAUGAAGUGUUCCAUAUUUUU